rnacentral:tRNA from 1 species
UCCCUGGUGGCUCAGAUGGUAAAGUGCCUGUCUGCAGUGCAGGAGACCUGGGUUCGAUCCCUGGGUUGGGGGA